ensembl:ncRNA C44B7.21 ncRNA
UUUUUAAGUCUUAAUUCCCGCAUAGUGCGCGGCACUCAGCGGCACCUCAAUUCAUUUUGAUCAAUGUCACAGAUAACUCAGUUUUUUUUCUGUGAUUUUUAUUCAAGUAAAGGAGGACAGUUCCUUAUCUCUUUUCUCUUUGAUUCAGCCGAUAGAUCAUAAGUGUUUCUGGCGGUGAAUAACCACAAAUUUCCGG